rnacentral:lncRNA from 1 species
CUGCAUUUGCAUAUUAAAAGACUAGGUGGGAGGGCCCAUUUUUUCGAGGGCUAUGUGAAUGACAUGUUUAGUCAAACCAAUCCCCUAAGCCCUAUGCAGAUCAGACACCGCCUCCUCCAGCCUCCUCAUAUAAAGCUGGUAUCCGCUUCACUCCGGGUUUCCUCUCUUGGCCUUGGAGACCCUUUCCCUCUGUCUCCGUACAGGGAAGCUUCUUCCUUCUUUCUUUUUUCUUGCCUAUUAAACUCUCUGCUCCUUGAAACUACUCCACGUGUAUCUGUCAUUUUAUGCAAUUCAGCCUAAGACAAGAGCCCUGGUGUUCCUCCACUCAUUGAAGUCGUAUCAUUUCUUUUUCUUUUUCUUUCUUUCUUUCUUUUUUUUUUUUUUUUUUUUUUUGAGUCAGCGUCUUCGUCUUUCACUCAGGCUGGAGAGUAGUGGCACAAUCAUAUCACAGCUCACUGCAGACUCGACCUCCUGGGCUCAAGCAAUCCUCCCACCUCAGCUUCCCAAGUAGCUGGGACCACAGGCAUGCUCCAUCAUGCUUGGCUAAUUUUUGUAUAAUUUUAUUUUAUUUUUAUUUUUUUUUUUUUGGAGAGAUGAGGUUUCGCCAUGUUUCUCAGGCUGCACUCACACUCCUAUGCUCAAGCAAUCUGCCGGCUUCAGCCUCCCAAAGUGCUGGGAUUACAGGUCUGCACCACACACCUGGCCUUGGAUUUAUUUCUUUUAGUCCAAAUACUCCUUUAAUAUUUCUGCAGUCUUAUAAUUACAAUAUCUGAUCAGGAAGUGAGUCUCCUUUCAUUAAUGUUGUGUGAACUCUCUUUAAAUCAAUUAAUGUAAACAGUAUAUUUUCCAGGAGAGUAAAUUUUUCUUAAAUUGUAUACUUGAUUUUAGUUUCUGUUUCAAGUUUUGUAAUUUGAUUCUUUUUCAGAAAUACCUAUAGAGAAUCAAAUCUUUCUUUUUUCUCCCACAGAUACCAUCUUCUCUUUGAUAGCUUUCAUGUUUUGUACUUUUCAACUUUUUUUUCUAUAUUCUAGGAUGGUUUCUCAAAUUCUCUGAUGUGUUCAUUUUGUUUUGCUAUUUCGAAUAUGGAUUUAGUUUAGGUCAUUUAAGGGAUCUGCAUUCCUUUAAGUGUGUUGUUGAUAUGGUAAUUGGGUCAUGGGGGUGGUUUCCCCACCCUGUUCUCAUGAUAAUGAGUGAGUCUCAGGAGAUCUGAUGGUUUUGUAAGUGUCUGGCAUUUCCCCUGCUUGCACUCAUUCCAUCCUGCCCCCUGUGAAGAAGGUGCCUUUUUCUCCUUUGCCUGCUGCCAGGAUUCUAAGUUUCCUGAGGCCCCACCCAGCAAUGCAGAACUAGUAGUAUCCUGAGAAGAAGAGGAAGCAACCAGAGUUCUCCCUCUGCCAUGUGAGAAGACAGUAGAAUGUGGCUGUCUGUAGCCAGAAAGAGAGACUUAUCGAGAACUAAAUUGGCUGGCACCUUAUUCUUGGACUUCCCAGCCUUCAGAUCUGUGAGAAAUAAACAUCUGUUGUUGAAGUCACCCAGUCUAUGGUGUUUCGUUAUAGUAACUGGAGAAGUCUAAGAGAAUACAGCAAAAUGGUUUGAAUAUGUUUUAAUUCUACAAUUAAAAUGUUGGAAGAAAAGAAGUGUGGUAUAAUUCACAUUUAAAAAAUUAUAUUCAAUUUAUUUUUUGGAAAGUAUAUUUAUGUUUAUCUUUCAGACUCUGGUAAUGACUGCCAGGUCUCAGUCUUCAGUUUGAAGUUCUCACUGAGCUUCACACCUUUGUCCCUGUCUGUUGUAUUUACUUCUUUGGAUAAAACGUCCCCAUUAUGUAUGGUAGGUUAAGAAAAAAAAAAUCCCUUCUUCAUUUCUUUUCACAGGCAUUACUGUCCACCAGCCAUCUAGGCUUGAGAACUUGGAGACCUCCAUGGAAAAGUCUUGCUCCCUAAACUUCUUUACUAAACAUCCAAGAUCCCCUCUUUUCUAUAUGCCUAAAUUAUAAAAUUUCUAGCACAGAACUUUUUAUUUAUAAACAAUUCUACAUUUUAAGCAUUUAUUCAUAUGUGUCUUAUUUGUUUCUUUAAUUUAUUAUAAAUUUGAUGGCAUGGAACCCAAAUUUGUCUUCUAUAUCUCUCCUAACAUUUAACAUAGAGCUAGGUAACUAAUGAUGCUUAGCUAAUUCUUUUCUAUGAUUAUGACUG